CGCUGGCGGCGUGCUUAACACAUGCAAGUCGAACGGGAUCCCUGGCGGCCUGGCUGCCGGGGUGAGAGUGGCGAACGGGUGAGUAAUGCGUGACCAACCUGCCCUGUGCACCGGAAUAGCUCCUGGAAACGGGUGGUAAUACCGGAUGCUCCGCCCCACCGCAUGGUGGGGUGGGAAAUGCUUUUUGCGGCAUGGGAUGGGGUCGCGUCCUAUCAGCUUGUUGGCGGGGUGAUGGCCCACCAAGGCGUUGACGGGUAGCCGGCCUGAGAGGGUGACCGGCCACAUUGGGACUGAGAUACGGCCCAGACUCCUACGGGAGGCAGCAGUGGGGAAUAUUGCACAAUGGGCGCAAGCCUGAUGCAGCGACGCCGCGUGCGGGAUGGAGGCCUUCGGGUUGUAAACCGCUUUUGUUCAAGGGCAAGGCACGGCUUUGAGUGUACCUUUCGAAUAAGCACCGGCUAACUCGUGCCAGCAGCCGCGG
rnacentral:rRNA from 1 species